ACCGUCCCCACGAGGCACAGCCCCGGCCCUGCCGUGGGCGGCGAUGCCAGCAGCUGGGACUAGGAGGGCCUCCUGGUCACCCUGCUAGGCGCCCGUACUGUCAUGCCUCAGAGCUGGCAGGUCGUCCCAGGGAUGACAAAGGCCUUCCUGGAGGGAUGGAGCCUUGUGGUUAGGAGCGCGGGGUGCAGAAGCAGGUCUGUGCUCACCUCCGGCUGUGUUUGCCCUGCGUGCUUCGGCCCAUGGUGCUGGUACUGAGCCCCUGGGAACCUCAGCUGCCUCCUUCGCAAAAUGGGAGCUGUGGCACCUGCUUCAGAGGUGUCCGUGAGAAUUAAAUGUGAAUUUCACGUAAAAUUCUAACACACAUGGCCCAUGGCCCGUAACACACAGUGAUAAACUUCCGAUCAACGUUGUUGCUGCUGUACUGAAAGGGCCUCUACUUGGCCAGACCCAGCUAGAAGACUAAGAUCAGGGGCACUCUGGACGCAGCCCACAAGGCUAGCUCUCUGCGGCACUGAGCAAGGUCUUCUUGGCUCUUAUUGACUGCUGAUGAAGGAGGAGUUUACAAAGAAAACAAGUCAAAACCUGAAGAACUCUGCUACUGAGAGCAACACACAUAUUUUCCCAGAGUGCAAAGUUGAGAAGAAGAAGUACAAAGCUUUAUUAAUAUUCUGAACAGUACUGCUUAGUAUGAUCUAAUUGAUGGAUUUUCCAUGGACUCCCUAGAGACUGAAAAAGGUUCCAAAAUGGAUGUUCCUGAUGAAUGUGCAUUCAUGUAAUUAUUCAGAGACUCAAACUCCUUCCAUUUAAUGACUCCUCCAUUUCUGGAGUCCCAGGAGUCCUCUUCAAGAGAGCCUCUGUCUUUGGCUGACCUGCAUGAGAAAGUAUAUGGAGGUCAUAUGGAUGAUGUUUCAUGCUGAGCCUGGGUAUGCAGGAGUUCAUUAGAAGACCAGAGAGAGAGACAAGCCACAAUUCAGGAAAACAUCCCAGCGGACUCCUCUCUGCCUUAUGUUUGACAUUCUUGAAAUCUGUGCUCUCUGUCUUGAAAUCUUUGAACAAUGCACAACAAUCUUAGGCUUGCCCAGGGAAACCUGUUCCAUUAGAUGAGGUGAGCUGAUUACAUACCUUCUUUGACUUGUGUUCCCAAGUGAUCUUAUUCCAGAUAUGACUUGGGGAUACUUGUAUGAGCCAUUCUGAUAUUGUCCUAAAAGGAAAUUAUUUUGGAAGUAAAGUCACUGAUAAAAUCAACUCAGGAAAAUGCACUCUGCAAAUAUGAGAAUAUGAGCGUUAUUAAAAGCCAUGCUAUAAAAAUA